CUACGGGAGGCAGCAGUGGGGAAUAUUGGACAAUGGGGGAAACCCUGAUCCAGCAAUGCCGCGUGUGUGAAGAAGGCCUGCGGGUUGUAAAGCACUUUCGGUUGGGAGGACUGCUUCUAGCACUAAUAUUGUUGGAAGUUGACGUUACCUUCAGAAGAAGCACCGGCUAACUCCGUGCCAGCAGCCGCGGGUAAUACGGAGGGUGCAAGCGUUAAUCGGAAUUACUGGGCGUAAAGCGCUCGUAGGGCGGCUAGAUCAGUCGGGUGUGAAAGCCCCGGGCUUAACCUGGGAACUGCAUCCGAUACUGGCUAGCUUUAGUACAGGAGAGGAAAGUGGAAUUCCACAUGUAGCGGUGAAAUGCGUAGAUAUGUGGAGGAACAACAAUGGCGAAGGCAGCUCUCUGGCCUGAUACUGACGCUGAGGUGCGAAAGCGUGGGGAGCAAACAGGAUUAGAUACCCCUGUAGUC
rnacentral:rRNA from 1 species